ACUACCCCUGGCUGCAGCCUGCAGACCGGGGCGUGCCUCAACGUGGGCGGAGUUAAACGUUUAAUGGGCGGAGUUAAACUUUAACGUUGAGGGACGCCCACUGUUUCUGAUUCUUCUUCGUCACCGGAAUUGUCGUCUUCUUCUUUGCAUUUUACAAGUUUCAACAUCGAUUUUUGCAGAAUGGAGGUACGUAUCAAUGAAGCAGAUGAGGAUGUUGUUUGUUUUUUCAAAUGUAUCGCACUUUUUUCUCCCGUUUCAUUAUGCGGUUCAGGUUUUACACGGAGCUCGUUAGCUUUCGUUUCGGUUCUCCGCGGGACGUCCGUAAUGUUUAGCUAUGUUGUAUCUUCCAUUGUCCGUUACACUUUUGUGGGGGUAGAUGGAACCGAUCAGGCAUCUCCAGCCCUAAACUUCGUGGGCUGCUGCGCUGCUUGUUUUGCCUUUAGGUUUAUCGAUCAGAAUAAACCCCAGACCCAGUUUCUGAUGGACUGAACGUCCGAUCCAGACACUCUGCACACCUUCUCUCCUCCUGGAGGACAUUUGUCAGAGAUGAUGUUCCGGUCUGAUAUGUCAUUGUCUCAGCUGACAUUUUCCAUUUGCUCUGUAUCCUUUAAUCAAAACAUUUUUUCACCCCCAGACUUUGUCCUCGUGGUGAUCUCCAACAACUGUGGGAUGUUUCUUAGAAUGGUCUAAGAAAACAGAAUGCAAGCCAGAAAACGGCGUCGGGAAGAGCAGUAACCACAUGUGAGAGGAGGCCGUUUGGAUCACAGUGCAAAUAUUGCAGGGAGACCAGCUACUAUUUGAAGGGGGAGAUGACAUGAAGACCAACAGUGGGACAGAGAAGACUAAGGAAAAAAAAACUCCUCCCUAUCCAAGAAAUUGAAGAAGCAGCUUUACUGCAUGACAUCAUAACAGCAGCCAAAUGGUCCAGAACACCAGCGUUUCCAGGAAGAUGGUCCCUGCCUGAUGUUAUAGAGAUGGAAGAGCGGAACACUGAAAGAACUCCAAACCUGUGACUUCAUGAGUGAAGGAACGAGAAUCAUGAAGCUGAAGGAUCCUUUCAUGUUCUCCUUUCAGUUGAAAAGUGACUGAAACAUUUUUAGUGCAGAAAUGAUGGAUGUGAGGAAUUUAAAAGUGUAUAUGUGUUUUGAGGAGCAAUAAACAGUUUUGGCUGUUUGUUUCUUCAAAAAAAUGUCUUUUGUCUUUGUGCUGCAUUGCCACAGUCAAUUUAAUCUCUGAGAGCCUUUCAAAUGUACCUGUGGGACCAUGGUUAGAUGUCUGGCAUAAGGUAAGUGGUUAUACAUGCCACUUUUAACUGACCUGAGACAGUGUUAAGUGUGAACGGAGCUGAGCAGUUUGAAGGCCACAUAAAUGAUUAUGUACACAAUUUCUCUGUGGAACCUGGGUGUAAUAUAAGAUAUACUUCAUCUUGUGAUAUUAUUUUACUUAUACAAGUAAAGCAUUGAUCAAUAAAUGACGGGGGCAUUUGAUCAGUUUAUCUUUAUUUCAAUAAAUUAUUAAAACUAAUUGUACAGUUAGUUUUUUUUAGUCUGCCUUUCUUGUUCCUGUAGCCAUAAAUAAGAGGGAGCAUUUUUCUAAAAAUAAUAAUAAUCAAGUAAGAAAGUAUAAAUCCUGAGGGCUGAUAUUUGUUUAUUUACUUGUGACCAGCACAAAAACUGGUGAAAAUUCAUGUUUGCAUCGCGUAACAUGCAGCUGAGAUGCACAUUGCUGCACUGCAGCACAUAUUUAAGUAGGUCCAAGGC